UACGUAGGGUGCGAGCGUUGUCCGGAAUUAUUGGGCGUAAAGCGCUCGUAGGCGGUUCCGUAAGUCGGGUGUGAAAAAUCUGGGCUCAACCCAGUGGAGCACCCGAUACUGCGGUGACUGGAGUCCGGUAGGGGAGUGUGGAAUUCCUGGUGUAGCGGUGAAAUGCGCAGAUAUCAGGAGGAACACCGACGGCGAAGGCAGCACUCUGGGCCGGUACUGACGCUGAGGAGCGAAAGCAUGGGGAGCGAACAGG
rnacentral:rRNA from 1 species